rnacentral:rRNA from 1 species
UACGAAGGGGGCUAGCGUUGCUCGGAAUCACUGGGCGUAAAGGGUGCGUAGGCGGGUCUUUAAGUCAGGGGUGAAAUCCUGGAGCUCAACUCCAGAACUGCCUUUGAUACUGAGGAUCUUGAGUACGGGAGAGGUGAGUGGAAUUCCCAGUGUAGCGGUGAAAUGCGUAGAUAUUGGGAGGAACACCAGUGGCGAAGGCGGCUCACUGGACCGGAACUGACGCUGAGGCGCGAAAGCGUGGGGAGCAAACAGG